AACGAACGCUGGCGGCAGGUUUAACACAUGCAAGUCGAACGCCCCGCAAGGGGAGUGGCAGACGGGUGAGUAACGCGUGGGAACAUACCCUUUUCUACGGAAUAGCUCUGGGAAACUGGAAUUAAUACCGUAUACGCCCUACGGGGGAAAGAUUUAUCGGGGAAGGAUUGGCCCGCGUUGGAUUAGCUAGUUGGUGGGGUAAAGGCCUACCAAGGCGACGAUCCAUAGCUGGUCUGAGAGGAUGAUCAGCCACAUUGGGACUGAGACACGGCCCAAACUCCUACGGGAAGCAGCAGUGGGGAAUAUUGGACAAUGGGCGCAAGCCUGAUCCAGCCAUGCCGCGUGAGUGAUGAAGGCCUUAGGGUUGUAAAGCUCUUUCACCGAUGAAGAUAAUGACGGUAGUCGGAGAAGAAGCCCCGGCUAACUUCGUG
rnacentral:rRNA from 1 species